rnacentral:sRNA from 1 species
UCCGCAGCCGGGAUUUGAACCCGGAAAUAGAAGAAUGUCCUCAAUUUUAACCUUUGUGCUACUACGGAUCUUUUGUUUAGAUUUGAAUUUAUAGUGUAUAUAUAUAAUUAUGUUAAGCUUUUAUCAUAAGAUUUUGUUACAGAUUUUUAGGACUGAAUACAAACUUGUAAAAUGAAUUAAAGAUAGAUGGUCGUUAGAUGAC